rnacentral:rRNA from 1 species
CCCUUAGAUGUUCUGGGCCGCACGCGUGCUACACUGAGUGGAUCAGCGGGUCAGGUUGCGCGAAAGUGUUUCCUAAUCAUGAAAUCCGCUCGUGAUGGGGAUUGACGGUUGCAAUUUUCCGUCAUGAACGAGGAAUACCUUGUAAGCGCGGGUCAUCAUCCCGCGCUGAAUACGUCCCUGCCCUUUGUACACACCGCCCGUCGCUCCUACCGAUUGAGUGGUCCGGUGAGGCUUUGGGAUCUGAGCGGAAAGAGCGUUUCGCUGUUUCUGCUCGGAAAACUCAGUCGAACCUUAUCAUUUAGAGGAAGGAGAAGUCGUAACA